rnacentral:rRNA from 1 species
CUACGGGUGGCACCAGCUAGGAAACCUUUACACUGCGCGCAAGCGCGAUAAGGGGAUUCGGAGUGCUUACGUUUUUGCGUAAGCUUUUGCCAAGAGUAAAUACCUUGGCGAAUAAGUGGUGGGAAAGACCGGUGCCAGCCGCCGCGGUAAUACCGGCGCCACAAGUGGUGUUCGUGUUUAUUGGGCCUAAAGCGUUCGUAACAGGUUUGACUAGUUCUUUGUGAAAUCGUGCAACUCAAUUGUACGGCAUGCAAAGAAUACUACCAAGCUUGAGACUGGGAGACGUAUAGAGUAUUUCGGGGCCAGCGGUAAAAUGUGUUGAUCCCCGAAGGACUGCCGAUGGCGAAGGCACUAUACGAGAACAGGUCUGACUGUGAGGAACGAAAGCCAGGGGAGCAAAAUGGAUUAGAUACCCGCGUAGUC